rnacentral:lncRNA from 1 species
AUGCCUCAGAGGUCCGUUUACAGAGGAACUUUGGAUCCAAACCCGGACAGUAAACAGAACCUCGUCGGUCUCUCUGGUGUUGCUUUAAUUACGCGCUGGCAGCAGAUUCCAGGCCUGCAGAUUAAGGGUUUCUCAGAACAAAAGCGAUGUAGAACAGAGGAGAAUUCAGCUGUAAUCUUCAGAAAGAGCUCCGUGUUCUCGUAUUUCUGUGAUUUCUUCAUCUGUCCUUCCCUUCUUCCUCUUCAUCUUUUUACCCAGAGCUCAUUCUUUUGUCGCUUCAUUGUUGUCUGUGUCUUAAAUAAAGGCUUUCACUUCUUUUCUCUGCUCUCUGAUUCAUGAUGACCACUAUAGUAAAUCGAUUUUUUUUUGUAAUUUAUUUGGGUUUCUUCUCAAUUGAACUCACUUUUCUCUCAUUUCGGUUUGAUUCCUGUGAUUAUAUGUUUGUCUUAAG